GUGCCAGCCGCCGCGGUAAUACGUAGGACGCAAGCGUUAUCCGGAUUUAUUGGGUUUAAAGGGUGCGUAGGCGGACCCAUAAGUCAGUGGUGAAAGACUGUCGCUUAACGAUAGCAUUGCCAUUGAUACUGUGGGUCUUGAGUAUAGUUGAGGUAGGCGGAAUGUGUAGUGUAGCGGUGAAAUGCUUAGAUAUUACACAGAACACCGAUUGCGAAGGCAGCUUACUAAGCUAUAACUGACGCUGAGGCACGAAAGCGUGGGGAUCAAACAGGAUUAGAAACCCUUGUAGUCC
rnacentral:rRNA from 1 species